rnacentral:lncRNA from 1 species
GAAUCUGCUUGUCGUCAAAGCAUCAUCCUGCCUUAUGUAUUUCUCGGCCCUGUUCAUCAGCUCGGUCAAUGAGGUCGGAGGCUUCCUGCUCAACGAGCCAAAGAACUCGGCAGAGGUCGUCCCCUUCUGCAUAGCCUCCACCGCCCUUCCUUCAUCGAGCUCUGGAAUCUGCAGGGCCUCCGUAUUGAAACGAGCGACGUACUCCCUGAGCGAUUCGUC